CCUUUGUCCUUCCAGGUGUUGCUGAAGUACAACUCCCAUCUUUCCUGACCAUGCUGGCUGGGGCUGAGGGGAGUUGUAGUUCAACAACAUCUGGAAGGCCAAAGGUUCCACAUUUCUGAUAUAUUAAAACAAAGCAGCUGCUCACUUCUUUGUAUAUGCCUGUGGGUUUGUUCUCUCCUUAUGUUUUCAUUUUUGUUUUACUGUCCUUGGUUUUCUUUUCUUCUUUCAAUCUUCUCCUGAAUGUUCAAGUUCUAACAAGUGUUUGAACAUAAGAACUCCAGUUUCCAAUUCCUGUUACUCACGUUGUUCUACAUUCCAUGCCUCUUAGCAAAAAAGAAGUUCGAGAAGGCAGGAUCGUUGGAGGAGGAAGAGGAGGAGGCGGUGGUGGUGGUGCUGUGGAUACUUAUGGGAACAGAAUCGUUCAAGGGAAUUUCAACCCAGGGAACAGCAACGAGAAAAACUGCAAUCCAUAUGGAAAAAAUGAUGUAAAUAAUCCUUGCCCUGCAGAAUAUCAGAUUGCAUCGGGGGAUUACAGAUCAUAUACCAAUUGUGGAGGGACAGGACAGUCAUCAUACUACAAUGAAAAUUGUAGGAAAGGGCCCUUCCGCAAUAGGCAGAAGAAAAUUGCUGCUGGGGACAAGAAGGUAAAAAUCACCUCCUAAUACAGUUCGUUAUUGGUUACAUUACUUAUUAGAUUUAUA
rnacentral:lncRNA from 1 species